rnacentral:rRNA from 1 species
AUUGAACGCUGGCGGCAGGCCUAACACAUGCAAGUCGAGCGGAUGAAGGGAGCUUGCUCCUGGAUUCAUCGGCGGACGGGUGAGUAAUGCCUAGGAAUCUGCCUGGUAGUGGGGGAUAACGUCCGGAAACGGGCGCUAAUACCGCAUACGUCCUGAGGGAGCAAGUGGGGGAUCUUCGGACCUCACGCUAUCAGCUGAGCCUAGGUCGGAUUCGCUAGUUGGUGGGGUAAAGGCCUACCAAGGCGACGAUCCGUAACUGGUCUGAGAGGAUGAUCAGUCACACUGGAACUGAGACACGGUCCAGACUCCUAGGGGAGGCAGCAGUGGGGAAUAUUGGACAAUGGGCGAAAGCCUGAUCCAGCCAUGCCGCGUGUGUGAAGAAGGUCUUCGGAUUGUAAAGCACUUUAAGUUGGGAGGAAGGGCAGUAAGUUAAUACCUUGCUGUUUUGACGUUACCAACAGAAUAAGCACCGGCUAACUUCGUG